rnacentral:rRNA from 1 species
GCUAGUACCGCAUAAGCGCACGAUACUGCAUGGUAUUGUGUGAAAAACUGAGGUGGUACGAGAUGGACCCGCGUCUGAUUAGCUGGUUGGUGGGGUAACGGCCUACCAAGGCGACGAUCAGUAGCCGACCUGAGAGGGUGACCGGCCACAUUGGGACUGAGACACGGCCCAAACUCCUACGGGAGGCAGCAGUGGGGAAUAUUGCACAAUGGGGGAAACCCUGAUGCAGCGACGCCGCGUGAAGGAAGAAGUAUUUCGGUAUGUAAACUUCUAUCAGCAGGGAAGAAAAUGACGGUACCUGAGUAAGAAGCCCCGGCUAACUACGUGCCAGCAGCCGCGGUAAUACGUAGGGGGCAAGCGUUAUCCGGAUUUACUGGGUGUAAAGGGAGCGUAGACGGUAAUGUAAGUCUGAUGUGAAAGCCCGGGGCUCAACCCCGGGACUGCAUUGGAAACUAUGUAACUAGAGUACCGGAGAGGUAAGCGGAAUUCCUAGUGUAGCGGUGAAACGCGUAGAUAUUAGGAGGAACACCAGUGGCGAAGGCGGCUUACUGGACGGAAACUGACGUUGAGGCUCGAAAGCGUGGGGAGCAAACAGGAUUAGAUACCCUGGUAGUCCACGCCGUAAACGAU